CCUACGGGAGGCAGCAGUGGGGAAUAUUGGACAAUGGGCGAAAGCCUGAUCCAGCCAUGCCGCGUGUGUGAAGAAGGCCUUCGGGUUGUAAAGCACUUUCAGUGGGGAAGAAAGCCUUGGGGCUAAUACCCUCGAGGAAGGACAUCACCCACAGAAGAAGCACCGGCUAACUCCGUGCCAGCAGCCGCGGUAAUACGGAGGGUGCGAGCGUUAAUCGGAAUUACUGGGCGUAAAGCGCGCGUAGGCGGUCUGAUAAGCCGGUUGUGAAAGCCCCGGGCUCAACCUGGGAACGGCAUCCGGAACUGUCAGGCUAGAGUGCAGGAGAGGAAGGUAGAAUUCCCGGUGUAGCGGUGAAAUGCGUAGAGAUCGGGAGGAAUACCAGUGGCGAAGGCGGCCUUCUGGACUGACACUGACGCUGAGGUGCGAAAGCGUGGGUAGCAAACAGGAUUAGAUACCGUUGUAGUC
rnacentral:rRNA from 1 species